UACGAAGGUGGCAAGCGUUGUUCGGAUUCACUGGGCGUACAGGGUGUGUAGGCGGUUUGGUAAGCCUUCUGUUAAAGCUUCGGGCCCAACCCGGAAAGUGCAGAGGGGACUGUUCAGCUAGAGGAUGGGAGAGGAGCGCGGAAUUCCCGGUGUAGCGGUGAAAUGCGUAGAGAUCGGGAGGAAGGCCGGUGGCGAAGGCGGCGCUCUGGAACAUUUCUGACGCUGAGGCUCGAAAGCGUGGGGAGCAAACAGG
rnacentral:rRNA from 1 species